GUGAGGAAUUUUCCGCAAUGGGCGAAAGCCUGACGGAGCAAUGCCGCGUGAAGGAUGAAGGCCUAUGGGUUGUAAACUUCUUUUCUCAGAAAAGAAUUAUGACGGUAUCUGAGGAAUAAGCAUCGGCUAACUCUGUGCCAGCAGCCGCGGUAAGACAGAGGAUGCAAGCGUUAUCCGGAAUGAUUGGGCGUAAAGCGUCUGUAGGUUGUUUAAAAAGUAUUCUGUCAAAGAUUAGGGCUUAACCCUAGAUAGGCAGAAUAAACUUUUAAGCUAGAGUUUGGUAGAGGCAGAGGGAAUUCCCGGUGGAGCGGUGAAAUGCGUAGAUAUCGGGAGGAACACCAAAGGCGAAGGCACUCUGCUGGGCCAAUACUAACACUGAGAGACGAAAGCGUGGGGAGCAAAUGGGAUUAGAAACCCCUGUAGUCC
rnacentral:rRNA from 1 species